rnacentral:rRNA from 1 species
AUUCCAGCUCCAAUAGCGUAUAUUAAAGUUGUUGCAGUUAAAAAGCUCGUAGUUGGAUUUCUGGUGGGGCUGUCGGCCUGGCUCCGAAAGGGGUCGUGGUUAGUACACGCCUGGCCAUCCUCGGGGGAAGCUUUGCUGGCAUUAAGUUGUCGGCGGAGUGACGCUCGUCGUUUACUGUGAACAAAUUAGAGUGUUCAAAGCAGGCUUAGGCCGUUGAAUACAUUAGCAUGGAAUAAUGAGAUAGGACUUUGGUGGUCUAUUUUGUUGGUUUGCACGCCGAAGUAAUGAUUAAUAGGGGCGGUUGGGGGUAUUCGUAUUCAAUUGUCAGAGGUGAAAUUCUUGGAUUUAUGGAAGACGAACUACUGCGAAAGCAUUUACCAAGGAUGUUUUCAUCA